AUUUUUUACCAUUUUUUUGCUCGUUACAUUUUUAAAAUGUUUUGAUUAUUUUUUCCAUCAUGAUGAUCAGAAAAGACUUCGAGGACUUCAGAGAUUUCUUCAGAAGAACAACCAGAAAAACAUCACAGCUGAGUCUGGACAGGAUGUCACUCUGACAUGUCGAGCUCCAAGCAACAAAAUCAUAGUUGUAAAGUGGAUCAUAUCCUACCUUCCAAAAGAAUAUGUUGUUUUGUACCGGGAUGGGCAGUUUGAUCCAGAAAACCAGCAUCCAUCUUUUAAGAACCGGGUGGAUCUGCAGGACAGACAGAUGAAGGAUGGAGACGUGUCUUUGAUUCUGAAGAAUGUGACGAUAAAUGACACUGGAACAUACGAGUGUCGUGUCGUCCAGGGAGUCAGACAACCGUUGAAGCUGAUCAGCAUCAUCCACCUUCAUGUUGUUCCUCCAGGUCUGACAGGAGGAUCUGUUGGACUGAUCGUCGGUCUGUCAGUUUCUGCUGUGCUUCUUGUUGCUGCUGUUGGUUUUUGGAUCUUCAGAAAAUAUAAACAACGACAGAGUCGGGAUUCAUUCCAGCAUCCUAGUGAAAUGCAGCAGCUUUGAAAUGUCUCAGAGCUUCUUACAUGGUGAUGCUGGGUAAGAGAAGCAACAAAGGCAGGAGUAAAUCUGACUGAAGAAUAAAAAGCAAUAACAUCCACAAAACCAAAAGAGUGGCUUCUAUU